rnacentral:rRNA from 1 species
AUUGAACGCUGGCGGAAUGCUUUACACAUGCAAGUCGAACGGCAGCACGGGGGCAACCCUGGUGGCGAGUGGCGAACGGGUGAGUAAUACAUCGGAACGUGCCCAGUCGUGGGGGAUAACGUAGCGAAAGUUACGCUAAUACCGCAUACGAUCUACGGAUGAGAGCGGGGGACCGUAAGGCCUUGCGCGAUUGGAACGGCCGAUGUCAGAUUAGGUAGUUGGUGAGGUAAAGGCUCACCAAGCCGACGAUCUGUAGCUGGUCUGAGAGGACGACCAGCCACACUGGGACUGAGACACGGCCCAGACUCCUACGGGAGGCAGCAGUGGGGAAUUUUGGACAAUGGGCGCAAGCCUGAUCCAGCCAUUCCGCGUGCAGGACGAAGGCCUUCGGGUUGUAAACUGCUUUUGUACGGAACGAAAAGGCUCUGGUUAAUACCUGGGGCUCAUGACGGUACCGUAAGAAUAAGCACCGGCUAACUACGUGCCAGCCGCCGCAGUAA